AAAAAAUUAGUUAAAUUUAAAUAACAUUAACUUGUCAAGUUAAAAUUAUUAUACAAUAAUAUUUUUUA
rnacentral:tRNA from 1 species